GGGAAAUCUGUGCUGAGCCACAGAGAACCAUGUACUCUCCUGUGUCAUCUACAAAAGAAAUGCACUUAAAGGAAAGCAGGAUAUGAGCAUGGUAUGCUAAACAAGAUCCAGUGCACAGAGUUUCAACCCCACCUGACAGAAAGGGGAACUACUGGAGGACUCCAGCCUUUCCUGCUAUCAGUGUGUCCAGAAGCCGUACUUCCUGUAACUACAAAGAAACACCUUUCCCGGCCAAGUGGAUGCUCCAGCAACCUUGUCUUCCUCUGCCCACCGCACUGCCGUUUCACAGGAGGCUCCUGUGUGGCUCAGAAUCCACGGAAGUGACAGGGCUGGCUUGUCUUUCCACUUCCUCUGCUCAAGACACUGUCAUGAACACUGCUGCUGCUCACAGCACGGGGCUUGGGACAAAGCCAGAACUCCGGUGCAUGUUGGCCUGGUUCCACACCCCGCUUUGAUGAGUCCUUAGGUAGCACUAUCCCCUCAACAAUCACGCAAUGAACACACCCAGGCAGCUUCUCAACACACACUGUUCAGUUUUUUUCCUGAAAAGUUGCCAAUCACAAAGCACAAAGUAAAUGCUGGCAAAGACCAAGGGUGCAUCAAUAGGACGGAAAUGAAUGAAAGUCAACCUUGUCUCUUUCUAUAGGCACACCCCUCUCUGAAGCUGACUACAGUAUCAUUAAUACAAGCACUUAUGGUGAAGUGAAUUUGCCCUCUAACUUGGUGAUGUACUUACUCUUUGAGUAAUGGGUGACAUUUCCCACCAGACCAUACCCCAGUUGCAAGAAGUCACAACAACUCUAAGUCUCUAGAAUUUGGCCAAGGUACAUUUUAAAAUGCAUCAACAUAAAACAAAAAAGAAACUUCAAAAUUCAGUUUAAAAAGCUGACAGGUUUCCCAAUGAU
rnacentral:lncRNA from 1 species